rnacentral:rRNA from 1 species
GACGAACGCUGGCGGCGUGCUUAACACAUGCAAGUCGAACGGUGAUGCUCCAGCUUGCUGGCGUGGAUCAGUGGCGAACGGGUGAGUAACACGUGAGCAACCUGCCCCAGACUCUGGAAUAAGCGCUGGAAACGGCGUCUAAUACUGGAUACGAAACUGGCCCGCAUGGGCAUGGUUUGGAAAGUUUUUCGGUUUGGGAUGGGCUCGCGGCCUAUCAGCUUGUUGGUGAGGUAAUGGAUCACCAAGGCGACGACGGGUAGCCGGCCUGAGAGGGCGAACGGCCACACUGGGACUGAGACACGGCCCAGACUCCUACGGGAGGCAGCAGUGGGGAAUAUUGCACAAUGGGCGAAAGCCUGAUGCAGCGACGCCGCGUGAGGGAUGACGGCCUUCGGGUUGUAAACCUCUUUCAGCAGGGAAGAAGCGAAAGUGACGGUACCUGCAGAAGAAGCACCGGCUAACUACGUG